AGGCUGCAAAAGAGGGGCACCAGGGAAAGCUUUUCCUGCCAUUCACCCCUGCAGGAUCCUGGCCAGGCGAGUAGCUGUGUGACCCUGGGUUGAGUCAUCCCCAUUUUACAGAGGGAAAACUGAGACUCCGGAGGUUUGCGACAUGGCCUGCUAACAGGCAGAGCCGGGAUUCAAAUCAAGAUCUCACUCCAGUGAGUGAAUGGGAACAGGAUGCAGAUGGUAGACACUGAACACGAAGAAGAAAGCACUGAGGCUGGGAUGAAGAAAGACUUGCUGGCCUUUGAAGGACACUGCAUAACGAAGAAAUUAGAUCCUUGACAAUAUCCCUCGGCAAAUGUUGUGAAGACAGACCUGUCGUGCGAUUUUUGUCAGGUGCUCCAGGAAGAUUACAACAGUCUGUACUCUUUACCAAUAAGGCGUGAAGGUGCCCAUUUCACCACGUUUUUGCCAUCACAGCUUAUUAAUUUUUAAAUUUUGUUGCUACUCUGGUAGGUACAAAAAAGAUUCCUAUGAUAGUUUUAACUAUUCUCAAGCCUUCGAGCAAUUUUUUUUUUUUUUUUUUUGAAUACAGGGUCUCGCUCUGUCACCCAGGCUGGAGUGCAAUGGUGCAAUCAUAGCUCACUGCAGCCUUUAUCUCUUGGAUUCAAGCAAUCCUCCUGCUUUAGUCUCCACAGAGCUACUCUGUAGUGGGACUACAGGCAUGCACCACCACACUAGGCUAUUUUUAAAAACCUUUUUGUAGAGAUGGGGUCUCACUACAUUGCCUAGUCUGAUCUAGAACACCUGGGCACAAACAAUCCUCCUUCCUCGGUCUCCCAAAGUGUUGAGAUUACAGGCAUGAUCCACUGCAUCUGGCCCCAUUUGAACAUCUGUUUAUAUGAUGUCAGAUCAGUCUCUUCCACAAAAGAAUUGUUUCUUGAUUUCACAGACUGCUUCACUGUUACCUAUUGUAAAUCUCUCAAUCUCUCAUGAGCUUCUUCUAUGGAGCACUUACCCCAAGGGUAAUUUUCUUUUUCCUUCUUUUUUUUUUUUUUUUUUUUGGUGGAGUUCCGCUCUUGUUGCCCAGGCUGGAGUGCAAAUGCACAGUCUUGGCUCCCUGCAACCUCCACAUCCCGGAUUCAAGCAAUUCUCCUGCCUCAGCCUCCCGAGUAGCUGGGAUUACAGGCGUGCACCACCAUGCCUGGCUAAUUUUUGUAAUUUUAGAAGAGAUGAGGCUUUACCAUGUUGGCCAGGCUGGCUUUGAACUCUCGACCUCAAGUGAUCCACCUGCCUUGGCCUCCCAAAGUGUUGGGAUUACAGGCAUGAGCCACUGUGACCAUCCAAUUUUCAACAUAUUUGUUUAAUUUUGUGACCAGUGUCUGGUUCCCCUGCUUGACCAGUAGCUACGUGAGAACAGAAACUCUAUCUGCUUGUUCACCAUAGAUCCUUAUGCCCUUGCUAGGGCAUAGCGGGGUUUGGCAAACUAUGACCAAAUCUGGCCCACUGCCUGUUUCUGCAAAUAGUGUUAUUGCAACACAGCCAUGCAAUUUGUUGACAUAUUCUGCUUUUGCGUUCAAUGGCAGAGUUGAGUAAUUGCCACUGAGAUCACUGUAUGGCUCACAGAGUCCAAAAUAUUUUCUCUUGGCCCAUAUAGAAAAAGUCUGCCAACUGUGGCAUCGAGUAGAAAUGUGGUACACUUUUUGCUGAAUGGCUAAAUGAAUAAAAAAAUUAAAGACUUUUGGUCACCUGGGGGAGACUGAGACCUCAAAGUGGAACAGGAAUGAGGUUGGAACUUGGUGACUUACAGACUGC